AAAAUUAUGACUCCAGAUAUAUAAGAUACCAUCUUCUUCAAUCAAUUACUCUCUCUAAUCCAUUUCUCUCUUAACUCUCUCUCUCUCUCUCUCUAAAUGCAGAUCUGAGCCUUAACAAUCCAGAGUCAUCAGGGAUUCAAAUGCUCUAUACAAUCUGCCCUAAUUUCUUUCAUGGAUUCAAAUGCUCUGUACAAUCUGCCCUAAUUUCUUGAUCGUGAAGAUUGCAGGUGCAUCUGGGGUUGUGUUAACUUUUGCCUUGGGUCUCCUCGGAGUUUAUCUCACUUUGCCAGAUUCUGAUUACAGUUUUCGUAAGUUUCCCAGAACACUUGAAGAUCUUCAUAUUCUUAGUGGAAGCAAUUUCAUGUGCAGAACUUUAUGGGUUUCCUGAUGAAGCUGGGAUAUAAUGUGAUGGGAAAGUUACAGCUGAAAGUUACUUACUAAUUUAACAAGGCCACCACCGCAAAUAAUACUUCCGACGACAUCAAAACGGCGUCGAAGAAGAAUAUUAUUACAGUUUCCAUUCACUUCUCCAGCAGAGUUUCACUUCAACUCUGAUUUUCAUGGGUUCAAUCUUUAAGGUCUUCUCUUCACUGAAACUGAAGUAUCUACUCACUUUCUCUCUCUCAAAUCCAACCGUGUUUCCAUAGACCUCCACCACUGACGCCGCAGAGCCUCCGGCCGCCGCCAUGAAUUCCAACAAUAGGCUUUCGGUGAAGAAGAUAGAGGCUCCGAAGCAGAAGAAAGCGCCGGUGAAGAAAGCGAAGGAGGCGAAGGAUCCGAACAAACCAAAACGGCCUGCGAGUGCGUUCUUCGUGUUCAUUGAAUAGGGAAUUCGAUAUAACAGGAGAUGAGUUUUCAUACAAGGAGUGGACAUCCAGGAAGCCGUAUAAGGAAAGAAAAAAGGCAAUUAAAGAACGGGAAAAGGGCUCGAUGCAGUUGGAUCAAGACCCGGAACUGAUAUACUAUGGGCAACAUUGACUAAUGGCAUACCUCCAGAAGCGAAGCUGAUGUUAUUGGAAACGGUAUAUGAUUUAAGCUGCGAUCUGCACACCAGCGGAUUACAGUAACCGAUCGCUUGAUACGAUUCAUCAGCUACGUGUAAGAUAGGCUACCUUGCUGUUGGCUGUUGGUGCAAAGGGAAGCUGUUCAACUAUGCCCUCAAACGCGCUUUUUAAAGCCAAGGUAGUGCUAAAUUCUUCUGACAUAAUGCUCUUAAAAAUGGUUUGAUGUAUAAAGAUUACUACCAUCUAUUGUUUUUAGUUGUAAAACAAAAUAUGCUCAAGAUGAUUUUGGCAUACACUAACUGCUGUUCAUCAACCAUUGUAUACAUACAUGUUUGUUGUAUUUUGGUUAGUUUACAUGUUCACAGAUUUUGAUCGAGGGUCGGCGUUGCUCUGUAUUCUAUAGGUUGAUCCUUUUGCUUUGUUAUCAUUACAAAUUUCAAUCCUAAGCUUAAUGAUAAUAGUUGUUACUUGUAGUUUAAAACCGAUUUAGUUCGAUGUCGAAAGCGGUGCAAUGAAUCUGUUCGAUGUCAAAAACGAUGCAACGUCAUAAACAUUGGAGAAGUGGAUUUGGAAGCUGAGGUAAUAUUUUAUAAGGUUUGAAAACAGUGGUUGAAACCACUGUUGUAAUCAAAUUGGGCUUUGAGAAAACAGUGGUUGAAACCAGUGUUGGGUAAUAUUUUAUUAGGUUAAAACACUGUUAUUUUGAGAAGACGGUGGUUGAAACCACUGUUUGGUUAAAACUGUGGUUCGAAACUGCUGUUCGGCUAAAACAAUGGUUGAAACCACUGAAUCACAGUUUUAACCUAACAGUGGUUUCAAUUACUGUUUUCUCCACAAAACACUAUUUUAAUCCAAUAAAGAAUUACCCAACAGUGGUUUCAGUGGAUUUGGAUGUCGAUUUAGUUGUUACUUGUAGUUUAAAACCGAUUCCGUUCGAUGUCGAAAGCGGUGCAAUGAAUCUGUUCGAUGUCGAAAACGGUGCAAUGUCAUAAGCAUUGGAGAAGUGGAUUUGGAAGCUGAGAUUGGUAUUCUUAGAUGCUAAUAAGAAGGGGCAGAGGAGUGUCUCAUAAAACCAGUGCGAUUGUCGGUUGUUACCGAUUUGAAAUCCUAUUUGCCAAAGAACAAGAAGAAGACAACUGAUGAGACAGAACUUGUUCCAAGUUCCUAUUUUUUUUUCUUUUUAAAGGUUUUGUUUUUUUAAACCAUUUUGACCUGUUUAAUUAGGUUUAAAUAAGUUUUGAACAUUGAUCUUUUCUCUUUUUAUCUUUAAGAUUAUUGGUGAUCACUUUAGCAAAAAGCGAAACGAUUUAUGUUUAGGUUUUUGUAA